rnacentral:lncRNA from 1 species
AUAAAAUCAACAAAGGGAGUACCCUUGGAUUUUUUCAAAAUUAGCUAAUUGGACAUAUUGGUGUCAAUUCCAGUGCCAGAGUUAAUAUAUAGCACUUUUCUUACAUAAAAUUUUCCUCUCGUUCGUCUGCUGUUCGCAGAAUUUCUCUGCGAGUUACGGUUCGUAAGAAAAAAGCUUCCGUUAAAGAGAUAAAUGUAUCAAUUUCUAAAAAUUAAAAAAAUCAUAAUAUCUCCAACUUAACUUCAAGAGUUAAACUGUAGCACUUUUUGGGACUAGCUGGACCAGGUGUAUCUACUAACGCCGAAAAACCGAA